CUGCGACGUCAGUGCUACGGUGUGCCGACGCAACGUGUGACUCGUCGACGUGCGAUAUGCUGAAUUGUCGCUGCGGAAGCUACAGGAGCUACUGCGGUUGCUGCGACUCCUGCCACUCGUGCCCCAACGAAGAAUGCACCGACCUGUACGAGGACACCUGCUCGGGGGGCUACCACUGCGUCAGGGACAGCAGCUGGCGAAGCAUUCAGAUCAGCGGCAGGGGACGUUGCAGGAUUAACCGAGGAAGGACUGUUCUGACCAACUGCUAGGUGGUUGUGGCGCGCUUGAGAUGAAUCGGAUUGACUCUGUAAACGCAAACUUCGUUUCUGGGACAUUUCAGAAGGCCGAAACGGUUAUAUGCGUCUCGUAUCUUCGACACUAUUCUUGCAAAAAUGUUUGUGUUAAAGAGACAGUUCAGAGAGGCACCAAAAACAAUUUUGACUUAUAAAAUAGUGUUCCAGAAUUUUAGAGUCGUUAGUGUAAUGGCAACGUGUUGGUUACCAGAAGAGAAAUUUAUGAUUGUCGAAAUUCUGUUUGAUCUUGAUUUUAAUUUUUCGCUGGAAUCCCGCCAGCGGUACAAGCCACAGUGACCUAGUGAAUUUCGAAGUAGCUAGACCGUUUUUGAGUAGGAAAAGUUAUCUAAACUUGCAAGGUUCAGUGUUUUGUUGCUCUAUAAUACAAUGUAUUCCAUCUUUCCCGAAUAAAUAGUUUGCUAUAGGCCGGA